rnacentral:miRNA from 1 species
CCAGGGCACGGAUCCAUGAACU